GACGAACCGUGCGAACGUUAUUCGGAAUCACUGGGCUUAAAGCGCGUGUAGGCGGGACGGCACGUCGGUCGCUGAAAUCCCCCGGCUCAACCGGGGAACGGGCGCCGAUACGACCGCCCUGGAGGGACGUAGGGGGACCUGGAACUUCCGGUGGAGCGGUGAAAUGCGUUGAUCUACAGAGGAACACCAAAAAGGCGAAGGCAGCCAACUAUUCUAUUCCUGACAUUGAGGCAUGAAAGCGUGGGGAGCAACCGGG
rnacentral:rRNA from 1 species